CUGGAGCGCGCGGGCGAGGC
rnacentral:miRNA from 1 species